rnacentral:rRNA from 1 species
AGACCCGAAACCCGGUGAUCUAGCCAUGGGCAGGUUGAAGGUUGGGUAACACUAACUGGAGGACCGAACCGACUAAUGUUGAAAAAUUAGCGGAUGACCUGUGGCUGGGGGUGAAAGGCCAAUCAAACCGGGAGAUAGCUGGUUCUCCCCGAAAGCUAUUUAGGUAGCGCCUCGUGAAUUCAUCUCCGGGGGUAGAGCACUGUUUCGGCUAGGGGGCCAUCCCGGCUUACCAACCCGAUGCAAACUGCGAAUACCGGAGAAUGUUAUCACGGGAGACACACGGCGGGUGCUAACGUCCGUCGUGAAGAGGGAAACAACCCAGACCGCCAGCUAAGGUC